CCAACAGGCCCUGCUCGUUCAGUUUUAACACUGCCAAGUUUACGGGGUUUCUACGGGAAUGACAGCAACAACAGAGGAUAAACAGUAGCUGUGUGUUAAAGACGGUGAAGACAGCACCAUCAUCACACGUAUGUCCCACAAUGAAGACACCAUCAUCACACGUCUGUCCCACAAAGAAGACACCAUCAUCACACCUGAUGGUAAACGGGUCGCCAUCACGGUUUUCUUACACCUGAUUCUCUUACUGACAGAAACGUCUUCGUCUACCUGGAUAAAAGUGCGACUUCCAGUAUGAUUCUGGAUCAGCAGGACCUGAGCAGCUCCACCAUCACUGCCACACUGAAGCAGAAUACCUGCAGUGAAGUGCUGAUGCCGUCAGCCUCAGCUUUAAAACCACCAUUUACCCAAACAGCAAUAUCUGACUGCAGCACAGAAACGCUUUCUGCUGAGGAAACAAUGAAAACAGAUGAUCGAAUCCGUCUGGAAUCUGGGACAUCAGCUCAUUUUGAUCCAAUGAAAGUUUAACUAGAAACUGUGCAGACAUUCGUUGGUGGACAGAACCUGAUCGUCAGCCAAUCAGAGCAGAGAGUUGGUCAACAUUAACUUCAGCAUUAAAAAUGUUUUCAGGUCCGUUCACUCGCUUUCAUGCAGAAACACAUUAAACCACUUCGGCUCCAAAUG